rnacentral:rRNA from 1 species
AUUGAACGCUGGCGGCAGGCCUAACAACUGCAAGUCGAGCGAGCGGCGGACGGGUGAGUAAGGGAUGGGGACUGCCCGAUAGAGGGGGAUAACUACUGGAAACGGUGGCUAAUACCGCAUACUGUAGGAUAGCCCAUAUGGGAUUAGCUAGUAGGUAAGGUAAGGGCUUACCUAGGCGACGAUCCCUCGCUGGUCUGAUAGGAUGAUCAGCCACACUGGGAAUGAGUCUCGGCCCAGCCUCCUACGGAGGCAGAAGUGGGGAAGAUUGCACAGUGGGCGCAAGCCUGAUGCAGCACUUCCGCUUGUAUGAAGAAGGCCCUAGGGUUGUAAAGUACUUUCAGUCGGGAGGCGUUACCGACAGAAGAAGCACCGGCUAACUCCGUGCCAGCAGCCGCGGUAAUAC